AGUGAACGCUGGCGGCGUGCCUAAUACAUGCAAGUCGAACGGAAUUUAAAAGAGCUUGCUCUUUUAAAUUUAGUGGCGCGCGGGUGAGUAAUAUAUAGCUAAUCUGCCCCUUGCUGGAGGACAACAGUUAGAAAUGACUGCUAAUACUCCAUACUCCUUUUUACCAUAAGAUAAAUCGGGAAAGAAUUUCGGCAAGGGAUGAGACUAUAUCGUAUCAGCUAGUCGGUGGGGUAACGGCCUACCGAGGCUAUGACGCGUAACUGGUCUGAGAGGAUGAUCAGUCACAUUGGAACUGAGACACGGUCCAAACUCCUACGGGAGGCAGCAGUAGGGAAUAUUGCGCAAUGGGGGAAACCCUGACGCAGCAACGCCGCGUGGAGGAUGACACUUUUCGGAGCGUAAACUCCUUUUGUUAGGGAAGAAUAAUGACGGUACCUA
rnacentral:rRNA from 1 species